rnacentral:rRNA from 1 species
AAGGGGGGAACACUCGCGGACGCCACUGCUGCUAGAGACUUGGUUGCUUCCUGGAAUGCCGGAUGAAAAUUCGCUCCAGGUUCAAUCUUGACUUUAGUAGGUCAAACAGAGGUCCUCUUGCCCCUCUUCCGACACCAAUGUAAACUGUUGAAGUCUUUAAUAUUAUUCUGAACGCAAUAUUUCCUUUUAGGAGGAAGUACUUUGUUAUCAGUGUAUAUAUUGACGGACGUUUUAUUUUCUCAACUUGGGAUUUCGAUUCCAUUUUGAUUAACUAAAAACAACAAAAUCUAACUUAUAGCUAUAACUCUUAACGAUGGACACCUUGGCUCCCACAUCGAGGAAGAGCGCAGCGAAAUGCGAUACGUCGUGUGAAUUGCAGGGUUCAGCGAAUCACGAAAUCCUCGAACGCAUCUUGCGCCCCCAAGCUCACUUGGGGGCGUGCUUGUUUGAGCGUCGUUUAAUAGUAAUCAACAUCAAAAUCCUUUUUGAUUAAUUUCAGAUUGGAAUUUUGCACGUUGGAAUUGAUUGUUCGGUCAUAGGGCUCGCGUUCUAGGCUGAUCUUUCGAAAUAUAGCAACCGAGGUUAGCAUGGUUCUCACGAAGAAACCGCCUCAAUUCAUGUCUUAACGUUGUGAAGGUUCCUUUACGGACCCCUUUUUCGUUAGGAUAGAGGAUGUGUUCAUGUGAUUAUUCAAGGCUUUUCCUCCUGAAUCUCCUGAUAAAGGAGAGGCUGAUGUUGAUAGCAGCUGUUCUUUAGAACAAUUAUCAACAUUUAAAUAUUAAACUCGCGACCUCAAAUCAAGCAAGGCUACCCGCUGAACUUAAGCAUAUCAGUAACGGGGAAAGAAA